rnacentral:rRNA from 1 species
UACGAAGGGGGCGAGCGUUGUUCGGAAUUACUGGGCGUAAAGGGCGCGCAGGCGGCCCUUGAAGUCAGGCGUGAAAGCCCCGGGCUCAACCUGGGAGGUGCGCUUGAUACUCGAGGGCUUGAGUGCGGGAGAGGAGAGUGGAAUUCCCAGUGUAGAGGUGAAAUUCGUAGAUAUUCGGAAGAACACCAGUGGCGAAGGCGGCCCGCUGGACAUGUAUUGACGCUGAGGUGCGAAAGCGUGGGGAGCAAACAGG